rnacentral:lncRNA from 1 species
AUUUCUCUAAUCUCUCUGUCUCUAUCCGCCUACAAUCCAAUAUAAAUCAAAUAAGUGUUUAAAUUUUAACCUAGUUUUGUGUGGUAAUUUUAAAAACUCAAUUUUUUCACACUUUGUCAUGUUUAAUGCUUUUAUGUAAAUACUAGGUACGUUUGAAGGGCCGUGCUAAGCACGACCCAAGACCGGUCCAAAUGUAAAGGUUACUAAUAAAUUCAAAUAAUACUCUUAAUAAAAAAGUACAACCUUGUAGUUGUGUAUGUGUUCCAAAGCACAAUUGUUAUAAAAAAAAUUAUAAGUAUAAUGUUUUAAUGGAAUGGAAUAAAAGUACAAUAGGGUUAUUGCGGUAUAAAUGAAAACAAACACCAACUUUUUUUUUUGAAAGAGAAAAUGUGCGCACUUAACCAACAAACGCCAACUUGUCGACUUUCCAAAUGACCAUCACUUACAAUAUCAUAACAACCUCCUAUAAGAUACUUGUAGAAGUAUUUGUUUGACUAUUUAAUAUAAACACCCAAAACGAUUUUACCUUUUCAGUGUUCUCCAAAUCACACCUUUGACUACGGUGGGCUUUGACCUUUGAAACCUUGUUGGUUUCUUGAGGAUGAUCUACACAAUACUGCAUGUGAUCCUUCAGUUUGGACCUGAUCAUGUAAUAUGGGAAUUUAUAAACACAUACUAACAUACACUAAUUAAUAAAUAUAAGAGUGCCAAUUAUUUUGAAGCUUCUUUUCUAUACAAACCAAAGCUUUAGUAGUCUAAAGCACAAUUGCAGGGCUCAUUUUUUAGGAUAAAAGCAUAGCAAAAUUUGACAACUAUUAACAGUAAUUAUAGGUUAUCUAAUUUGAAUUGUGUGUUAAAGCCAACCCAUGUUACCCGGUUAACAUUAAAGAUUUGAGUGACGGGUUCUUCAUGGAUGUGAAAUUAACGAAAAACGCAUCAUUGCAAAAGUAAAACUCAUCGAGUUAGACAAACAAGUAGAUGACUUUUAUUGAUAAACCAAACUUUAAAUUAUUUAUAAUCUUUCUUGUAGAGAGUUGUAAUUAACAAAAUAUAAUUUUCGUUUAAUCUGAUCCACUACAUUUACUUCAAUCAUAAUACCCAUGAUGUACAAGUUCAUUUAUAUUUGAAUCAUACAAUAUGGACUUAUAUAGUUAUAAAAGUAUAUUUUCCAAACUCCAAGACAUACUAAGCCAUCCAUAUUCCCAUUAUGCACGAAAACAAUGUCCAAAAGCUCAUCUACAAAUGGAAGUAUGAUGCUAUAACAAACAUAUAGUAAUGAAAGUACAUCGCUAUUUAUUGCAUAUUCAGAAAAAAAGAUUGUUGAUUUAUUCAAGUAAUAAGGAGAAAUAGAAAAUUACCUUAAUAUAUUAUAGACAAAUAUUGUUAAUGAGUAUGAGACUUAGUGUCACCAUAGAAGGAUAGACCUACAAAAGAUGGUUAUACCAAGACUCCAACACCGAUGACCUGAAUGUUCAUUCUUAUUGAUUAGAACUUAAUAAGUAUAAAAAUCAUAAAAAAUGAAAUAAUAUGAUGUUCGAAAAGCUAAAGAUUAAUUUAUGAAUUGUUAGUAUGUAUUUUGACUAACUCAGACGCUACCAAAGUCCGAAAGUUGUAUUAUUUCUAUUAGAAAAUCCUCUUUAACUAAAGGAAGUAAUAUAAUCUUUCUUUUUUUUCUUAAUAGACUUGAUGCAUAAAGUUAUACAUGAAUGCUUCUUUUUAAGUUAAUGAAGAUGGAACUACUUAAUACAGAAAAUCAGGGAAGAGGCUUUCCUCAUUAAGUUUUAACUAUUUUCACAAAUUUGUUGUCAUUUACUAUUUUCACAUAUUUUCUGUUAUGUUUUUUAAACACUGUUCAUCCAUUCAAAUUUUUAUCUUCACAACAUAAAGGAAAAAAAAAAAGAAUCAGCACCUUAGAAUAAGAUAAUUAUAAUGGUAAAUAACAACUACAUACUAUAAAAUGAAAUCAAUACCUUCUUUAUCUUAGGCCUAGAAAACUGCUUGAUGAUGAUCCAGGCCUGCAAAAAACAUUGAAAAUGAAGGAGCCAGUGAGUUCCUGUAAUUAAGCAUAAAACAUAGUUCCAUAUUAACCUUUUGACUUUUCAUGUAAUUUCAGUAUGAGCUUAGAUGAUUACCAGAUUGUUAAUGUUAGCCCCCAACAACAAGAAAGAGGAAAUUUACCUGAGGUUACCAAUAAAAAACUAAAAAAUAAACAAACGAAUCUGAGUGCAUCUUCAUCCCUUGUUCAUAUGGUGGAGUCCGUUCACACACACACACACACAAAAAAAAAAAAAAAAAAAAAAAAAAAAAAAAAAAAAACCCAUUUCGAAUAACUGAAAGUAAACAUAAAAAAAUUGAAGAUGUUGCGUUGUGUUAAGCCAUAGAAUUAGAAGAUAACAAUUAUGAAGAUGCUCUAUCGUCUUAAAUCAUAGUAGAAAAAGAAAGAAAUAAGGUAAAAUGGCUUACCUAUUAAUCUUCAACCUGGAUGGUUUUAUUGAAUAGCUUUAAUUUUGAACUUCCAUCUUCAAUUUCAAGUUUGUUGGGUUUCUUUUUUAAGCUUGGGUUCGUGUUCUCUGAUGGUGUAAGAAAUCCCCCAUUGUUUAACUACAGUUAAAAAUCAAUAGGACAACGAACAGUUGGAGAAAAAGGGAACCUUCCUGAAAAUUGCCAAAUAAGAAGAGUUGGGUGUCAAUAGAAGUAGGCCAGAGAGAGAUAGAGAAAGAGUUCGAGUUAAGUGGAGAGAAAAAGAAGAUGAAGAUAACAGAGUGUUCAAGAUUUGCAUGCAUCAGGCUCUUCUUUGAGACAAAGCGGUGGGCAUAGAGAAUUACGAACAAUUGUCCUCUCUAUGAAACAUGGUGGUCUUCAAACCGAAAGGAGACGAUCGCUAAGCUCAGCCAGUGUCUUCUAACCUGAAGGUAUGUUAAACAAAAAUACCCUCUAAAAUUCCAAUACAAGAUGAUUUAUCCUUAUCGGAACCAAUCUUAUGCAAAAAAUGGUAAUAAAAAUCUACAAAUUACCAAACAAAUAGUUUAACCUGAGUGUGAAGUAGAGAUAGAAGAAACUUGAAUGUACUUAUUGGAGCAAACAGAGUUGUUUUGGUUAUGGUAGAUUGUAAUGAAUCAUAGAACUCUACUUUGUCCGAAGAUGAGAGAGGAUAGAAAUUUAGGGCUCAGAUUGUGGUGAAUGAUGGAACCCUAGGUGGAGAAAACAAAGGGAAAAUGUGGAUUGGAGGUGAUGGUGCACUCGGGGAGAAUGAAAAAGAGACGGAGAGGCCGAGAGGGAGAAGGAAAGAAUAAGACGAAUGUUGGGAAAUGGGAACGAUAAGCGGUAGCUGAUGUAUAAUAGCGUGGCACAUACUCCUAUUCAGUGGAAUCGUACUAAUUCAUCUGUGGACUAUCCAAGAGAGAAAAAUAGAGCGGCAACCCAUCCAUCAGGAUCCGACCCGGAAGAAAGCAACUUUUAUUAAUACCCAUAAAUUCCAUAGAAAUCCAUCAAAAAUCCAGAAAAAUCCCGUCAUAUUCCACACUCAUCCACCUCACCCCAUUUUGCUCCGUUCUUAAGGCAUAGGCCUUACUUAUAUAUAUAAGAUAUGUGCUUGUGAAAUUAUGUUCUUAUUUAUGAUAAUGUAAUAUGUGAUUGUAUAUAAU